UGCCAGACUCCUACGGGAGGCAGCAGUGAGGAAUAUUGGUCAAUGGACGAGAGUCUGAACCAGCCAAGUAGCGUGAAGGAUGACUGCCCUAUGGGUUGUAAACUUCUUUUAUAUGGGAAUAAAACAGGGUAUGCAUACCCUCUUGUAUGUACCAUAUGAAUAAGGAUCGGCUAACUCCGUGCCAGCGGCCGCGGUAAUACGGAGGAUCCGAGCGUUAUCCGGAUUUAUUGGGUUUAAAGGGAGCGUAGGCCGGCUUUUAAGUCAGCUGUGAAAGUCCGCGGCUCAACCGUGGAAUUGCAGUUGAAACUGGAGGCCUUGAGUGCACACAGGGAUGCCGGAAUUCAUGGUGUAGCGGUGAAAUGCUUAGAUAUCAUGAAGAACUCCGAUCGCGAAGGCAAGUGUCCGGGGUGCAACUGACGCUGAGGCUCGAAAGUGCGGGUAUCAAACAGGAUUAGAUACCCGCGUAAUC
rnacentral:rRNA from 1 species